rnacentral:rRNA from 1 species
GAUGAACGCUGGCGGCGUGCCUAACACAUGCAAGUCGAACGAAGCACCUUACCUGAUUCUUCGGAUGAAAGUUUGGUGACUGAGUGGCGGACGGGUGAGUAACGCGUGGGUAACCUGCCCUGUACAGGGGGAUAACAGCUGGAAACGGCUGCUAAUACCGCAUAAGCGCACGAGGAGACAUCUCCUUGUGUGAAAAACUCCGGUGGUACAGGAUGGGCCCGCGUCUGAUUAGCUGGUUGGCAGGGUAACGGCCUACCAAGGCAACGAUCAGUAGCCGGUCUGGGAGGAUGAACGGCCACAUUGGAACUGAGACACGGUCCAAACUCCUACGGGAGGCAGCAGUGGGGAAUAUUGCACAAUGGGGGAAACCCUGAUGCAGCAACGCCGCGUGAGUGAAGAAGUAUUUCGGUAUGUAAAGCUCUAUCAGCAGGGAAGAUAAUGACGGUACCUGACUAAGAAGCUCCGGCUAAAUACGUG